UAUUUUAAAGGGAUUCUAAUCUUUCAUAUAUAUUUUUUUUUUGGUAAAAUAAAACUAUAUAGGUUGAACUUUUUAUAGUGACUGGGCUCACCUCAAAUGACCACCUCGCCAGAAAUCCCCGUAGGGAUUUUUUAGCUAAUCCAGUACCAUUCCGCUGUCCCCGAGUAUCGAACUGACGACCUCGGGUAGUCGUGUGUGAGAAACGUUCAGUACUGCCGCUAGGCCACCUGACGUUCUCUAAUACUGUAUAGGUUGAACUUUUUAUAGUGAAUGGGCUCAUCCCGAAGAGCCAUCUCGCCAGAAAUUCCCGUAGGGAUUUUUUAGCUAACCCAGUACUAUCACGCUGUCUCCGAGUAUCGAACUGGCGACCCCGUAUAGUCGUGUGUGAGAAACGUUAGUACUGCCGCUAGGCCACCUGAUGUUCUCCUAAUCUUUCAUAUUGUUGUAAUAAAGAGGCUGAAGGUCCCACCUGCACUCAAUAAGCUCACUAAGACCCUUGACAAGAACGUACGUCUUCCAUCUCUUUCCAUUUCCUUGCUCUGUUUUGGUUACCUUGUAGCUAAUUUACGCAAUAUUUGUAUAACUGCAGCAACUUCUCUGUGCAAGAUUCUCCUCAAGUAUAGGCCUGAAGACUGGGCAGCCAAAGAAUGUACGUCUUCUCAAGAAGGCUCAGUCUGAAGCCGAGGGAAAGCCUCUUCAGUCCAAGAAGCCAAUUGUUUUGAAAACAAGGUAGUUGUGAUUGCUCAUGAUGUGGACCCAAUUGAGUUGGUUGUCUGGUUGCCAGCAUUGUGCAGGAAAAUGGAAGUUCCUUACUGCAUUAUCAAAGGAAAAUUAUGAUUGGGAUCGAUUGUUCACCAGAAAACAGCAGCUUGCUUGUGUUUGACCACAAUAAAGAACGAGGACAAGCUCGAAUUAAAUUCAGCAAAAUUCAAUAGGCUAUGCGUGUUUGGUUUCUGUAAAAUGAAUUCUUAGACGGUGUUUCUAUCGUUGGAUAUAUGUUAACUUCAACUCGUCACUGUAAACUUUUAUAUUCUCAAUCCUUCAAUCUUUGAAAUCUCUCUCUCAACUCUAUUUUAAGAAAGGUCUUCGUUUAUGUACUAUCUAUGUGCUACUGACCAAUAAAACAUUUUGCAC